GACGAACGCUGGUGGCGUGCUUAACACAUGCAAGUCGAACGGAAAGGCCCUGCUUUUGUGGGGUGCUCGAGUGGCGAACGGGUGAGUAACACGUGAGUAACCUGCCCUUGACUUUGGGAUAACUUCAGGAAACUGGGGCUAAUACCGGAUAGGAGCUCCUGCUGCAUGGUGGGGGUUGGAAAGCUUCGGCGGUUGGGGAUGGACUCGCGGCUUAUCAGCUUGUUGGUGGGGUAGUGGCUUACCAAGGCUUUGACGGGUAGCCGGCCUGAGAGGGUGACCGGCCACAUUGGGACUGAGAUACGGCCCAGACUCCUACGGGAGGCAGCAGUGGGGAAUAUUGCACAAUGGGCGGAAGCCUGAUGCAGCAACGCCGCGUGCGGGAUGACGGCCUUCGGGUUGUAAACCGCUUUCGCCUGUGACGAAGCGUGAGUGACGGUAAUGGGUAAAGAAGCACCGGCUAACUACGUGCCAGCAGCCGCGGUGAUACGUAGGGUGCGAGCGUUGUCCGGAUUUAUUGGGCGUAAAGGGCUCGUAGGUGGUUGAUCGCGUCGGAAGUGUAAUCUUGGGGCUUAACCCUGAGCGUGCUUUCGAUACGGGUUGACUUGAGGAAGGUAGGGGAGAAUGGAAUUCCUGGUGGAGCGGUGGAAUGCGCAGAUAUCAGGAGGAACACCAGUGGCGAAGGCGGUUCUCUGGGCCUUUCCUGACGCUGAGGAGCGAAAGCGUGGGGAGCGAACAGGCUUAGAUACCCUGGUAGUCCACGCUGUAAACGGUGGGUACUAGGUGUGGGGUCCAUUCCACGGGUUCCGUGCCGUAGCUAACGCUUUAAGUACCCCGCCUGGGGAGUACGGCCGCAAGGCUAAAACUCAAAGGAAUUGACGGGGCCCCGCACAAGCGGCGGAGCAUGCGGAUUAAUUCGAUGCAACGCGUAGAACCUUACCUGGGUUUGACAUGGAUCGGGAGUGCUCAGAGAUGGGUGUGCCUCUUUUGGGGUCGGUUCACAGGUGGUGCAUGGCUGUCGUCAGCUCGUGUCGUGAGAUGUUGGGUUAAGUCCCGCAACGAGCGCAACCCUUGUUCACUGUUGCCAGCACGUUAUGGUGGGGACUCAGUGGAGACCGCCGGGGUCAACUCGGAGGAAGGUGGGGAUGACGUCAAGUCAUCAUGCCCCUUAUGUCCAGGGCUUCACGCAUGCUACAAUGGCUGGUACAGAGAGUGGCGAGCCUGUGAGGGUGAGCGAAUCUCGGGAAGCCGGUCUCAGUUCGGAUUGGGGUCUGCAACUCGACCUCAUGAAGUCGGAGUCGCUAGUAAUCGCAGAUCAGCAACGCUGCGGUGAAUACGUUCCCGGGGCU
rnacentral:rRNA from 1 species